rnacentral:lncRNA from 1 species
AUCAUACAUUAACAUUAUUUUAUGUUAAUACUUGAAACAAGCUGUGAUGAAAUUAUAAUUUUUUUAUCCUCCUACAAACUUGAACUUCUUUUAAUAAUCAGAGAAUAUUAAUGUAUUAAUAAUGAUUUCUUUAUGUAUUUUUCUUGCUAACUCCACAUCUAUUAUUAAUUAGAUUUUAUUCUGCCACUCUUCAUUUUUAACAUAUCGUAGGGAUUCCACAUGAAGCAUACAUAGACUUAUGAUUAUACAUUCAAUGAAUUUUAGUUAGCAAAUUUAUCUUUCUACAAAAUUAGAAAUCUUCAUCUAAUCACGAGGACUGGGCAUAUAUGUGAGUGUGAGGAGAGGGCUGGAACGAGACAUACGGUACUAUUAAUUCUAGUUUAUUCUAAAACAUAAACUGCCUAUGAUGCUAAAAUUUUGGAGGAUAGAAUAUGACGUGUUUCUGCUCAAAAUUUCAUAUUUCUUUAUUAUAGAUCUACUAAGAUUGAGAUCUUUUCAAUUUCUUCGCUUAAAGUCGUAAAUAUGAUAAUUACAGAUGAUAAAUCAAAAAAUAAUGAAAAUCACUUACCCGUGACAAUAGAUUUACUAGUAAAUGGAUAAAUUAAAGUAUUAUAAUGUAAUUAGUGAUACUAAGUGUAUAAGUAUAGGUAUUUAAAACAAAAUAUAUUAUUGGGAAUAUUAAUUAGUAAUUUAAAUAGAGCUUAUAGGCAGAGAAUCAGACAAAUUAAAAAUGGUAAAUCAUACGAUAUGGAAGUUAUUCAUAUAAAAUAAAACAAAGAUACUCGACAAAUUAUUAGCCACAAAUGUAUACAAAAUGAAAUGAGACAUUUUUUAAAGGAAUCAAUUUUCUUAUUAGCUGAAUAAAAUACAUAUAUAUAUAUAUAGUAGACUAAACUAUGGGGAGAAAAAAAGGGACAUUAUCUUUAAGAGUAUAUAUUUAUUUUCCAAUGACAAAAGAGGCACGCAAGUAAUAAAUAACUCAGGGGCAAGUCUUGAAUUGUCCAAGUAAAUAGAUUAUAUAUCACAAACUCCAGGUUAUAAAUGGAAUGGAUGUUGAGGUGAGUGAUUUCUGUAUUAUAUGAUAGGAUGGGGAAAAAGAAAUUUUUUAAACAUAAAAAACAUUUAAAGAAAAAUAUAAAUCUUUAACUAAAAAGUAUUUUUUGUUCUUUCAAGAGAUAUUUUUAUUUAUAGGGGGGAAAAUCAACAAAAGUUAAUGGAAAGACUCUGUGAUAUAAUCAACAAUUGAAGAGGGGAUGUGUGUAAAGUAAAAACUCUGUAUAACCAUUAGAAAAGGAAAAACUGUUGAUACGUGUGCCCUUUUUUUUUUUUUUUUUUUUUUUUGUUCAAUAUUUAAUUUAUUAUAGUUGCUCUUAGAAUAAUGAUCUCCUGUCUUUGGUCCAACUUGUUUUAAAAACGAAUAAUAAAAUAAUGAAUUUAAAUAUAAUUAUGAUGUUUUCCCUGUACUAAUGGAAGGCAAACCGGACACUUGUAAGAGAGAAAACAGCCAGUUUUGAAAAACCACCUCACUCUCAGACAUUAAAUAUCAUGAAUGAAAUUCUGAUUAUUACUAAUUGAAUAUUAAAAAUGGCCGCCAUUUGGGCAAGUAACGUUUGGAAGGUACAUUCUUGAAAUCAAAGUACUAACUACUGAGGAAACAUAACUUCUCACUACUACACAGGCUCAGACUUGAGGUCAAACUAAAGAUGCUAAACUACCAAUAUUGAGUGGUUCAUAAAAAUGGACAUCUUACGAGGAUUUUGUCGAUCAGAAGUACAAAAAUUACAAAUUUAGCUUAGCAACCGACACCAUUAGUAGAACAUAGUAUAAAUACAUAGUCUUCAAUAUCAAUUUAUGGAGAUUAAGCACCUAGAUCAAUGUUUGUACUAUAACCAGAUCAAAAAGGAAGUGAAUCAGACUAGUGGAUGCUAAGAAAUAGUGACUUAAAGAUGAAAGGUCAGCUAUGGAAAUACACUUAAGAGGAAAACGAGUUUUAUGAAUCAGUACCAUCACAAAAGAAGUCAAAUUUCUCUAUUGCCUUUUGAAUAAAUAUCCACUCUUCUCUGAAUUAAAUAAAGUGUUGCUGUAGACGUACAAUUUGCACACAGUCCUGAAUCUAAACAAUUUCGAUUAUGAGCUUUUGGAUAAUGAAAGAUGAGAACUUGAAGUUUGUAAACAUGCCAAAAAAAUCUUAAAAAUUAAUUUUUCGAAAAAUAUGACUUUUCUGAGGUUAAAUCUUACCUUAAUGGUAGAAGGUUGCCCUCUUUAUAGCAGUAAUUCAUUUUCUCCUCCCAAAACCAUAAAACAAGCAUCCGAUAUUAAAAAGAGCCUAAAUUCAGGUGUGCCAUGUCUCGUUACCACCUUCUCCUCACGCUCCUACAAUAAACAAUUACAUGCAAAAAAAAUAUUUUUAAUUUUAUAUUCAAUUCCAGUUAUACUUGAUGCGGUUAUCACGCAUCUCUUAUUACUUUUAUACUAUAAAAUCUGGUUUUAUAGUAUUUAAAAAAAAAUAUAUUUUUACAAUCUUUAUUGGCUUAAGUCAACUUUUGCAAAAUAAAAAUUUAAUCAAUAAUUCUGAUACAAAUUGUUAAUUUUUUUCAAUAUUUGAUGCUUAACUGAAAUAUGUGUGUUAUCUAUGAUUGUUAAUGACAAAAAAACUGAAGGGGAAAAAUUAACCAAACAUACUGGACAUCUAUUGGAAGAAAGAACUUUCAUUGGAAUUCUAGAACUAUUCAAACUGUUAAGUUCUUCAGCUUUUUGGAUCUGAUGAACCGAUAAACUUCAACUCUAGAUGUAUUCCAAGAGACGAGUUUCUUCAAAGACACUAAGUGAUAUCAAUAGGACAAGUUCAGAAAAGCACUAUUGUAUUUAAUCCUAAGACGUUCCUGUAGUUAGGAAGAAUGAAAAUAAUUAUAAAUCAAACAUAUGAUAAUUUUACGGAUCCUCCUUCCCGAUGUUUUAUAGCUUGAGAAUGCAUUCCCUUAUCCGAAAGAAGAUCCAGGGUGGUAGCAUGAAAGAAAAAUCUAAUAACAUUCUAAGGAAUCGCUUCCUACGCCUUGUCUGGCCUCCCGUAUUUGGCGAUUUAAACGGCUCCUGUGAGCGUUUUAAGAAUUAUCUUAUGAACUCCAAGGAAGAUGGCUCCGCUAUAGGAUGGCAACCUCCCUACUCUUCAUAGAAAUAUUCGAGAAGGAAGAAGUUUAAAAAAAAAUUUCUGUAGCAUGGCCUUGUAACUUCCAAGGCACCUUAUUUUACGACUGAUAUAUGAUGAAAAUAUUUAAAGGACGUAUUGAAGAGUCCUUCAACGUUACCUUGUCCAUGUCGGAGUGGCAUGUAAUGACAUCUCCUAUACGAUCCAACUAUUUCAUAAUAGAUUUAAUCGUCAGCAAAGUGCAGCUAGCGAUAUGCACUGCCGGCUCAAAAAGUUCAAAGAUCCUUCUGGUUCUCGACCGACUCGUGGAUCGAACAUUGGGCCUCUUGGCGGUGUUCGAAGAAAACGGAGGAGAACUAAGACUAAUAUCUUUAUUUUGUUUAUAAUAAUUAUGUCAUAUAUGUGAUAUAAUAUCGCCAUAUCGCAAUUUAUUGACGUUCAGAAAAAAGUCGGAUCAACAAGCCUCGUAAUAUUAGACAAAUAGCUUUGAAGUAAGUCCGAGGAUUAUUUUCAAAAUAAUCUUUAAAAGCUAUAAAAUAUAAACGUAAAACUCACUGUUACCAUCUAUCAUGGUCCUUCAUGUUAAUGUGUAUUUCCACAAUGAAUGAUCCUUCAUUAAUGGAGAUUAGAGCUUAGGAGUGACGCAAAGAAUCCCUUCAAGGGAACGAGAUCAAUAAACAUCAAGUUAAAAAUAUGGAGCGUGCUCCUAGGAUAUUCAAAUGAAAAGAUAUGAAUUCAUUGGAGCAAUUGGUGGAUGCAGAUUCAUAUGUCCGAAUUUUCCGUCUAAAAUACCCAUCGAAAUAAAAUGAACCGAUAAACCAGAACUACUGAGAAAUACAAUUCAAACUUUUCCCUCUCAUAGUAAUAAUUAUUUUUAUGUUACGAUGUUUGGUGGCGAUUCACAUUCUUAGUUACUAAACAAAAAGUAAGGAUAAAAACCCUAGGUAAGGAUAAGAGCAGAUAAUUAUUUUCUUCAGUAAUAUAAUUUAUCCCUACGACACAUUAGAUUCCCUACGAGGGCUAGCACUGCUCAGAGCAUCAAAAUAUUAAAUUUUUACAAGUUAAAUCAAUUAUAGGACCAAAGAAUCAAAUAAUUUAUUAAGUCAACGAAGAUUUUUUGGGUAAAAUAUCUGUGUGCUCGAACGGUUCUUUAUUAAAACCAUCUAAUAUUGAAGUAGUUGACCUGAAUAUUAAAUAUUUUUAAAUAAAAUGUUGAAUAAUUAAAUUUUUUAAAUACAAUUAUAAAUUGGUACUUGAUCAUAAUUAUUUAUAGGUAUAAUGUGUUAACCAAAUGUGUUAAUAUACUUUUUGUUAUAGUU